GAUGAACGCUGGCGGCGUGCCUAAUACAUGCAAGUCGAGCGAACAGACGAGGAGCUUGCUCCUCUGACGUUAGCGGCGGACGGGUGAGUAACACGUGGAUAACCUACCUAUAAGACUGGGAUAACUUCGGGAAACCGGAGCUAAUACCGGAUAAUAUAUUGAACCGCAUGGUUCAAUAGUGAAAGACGGUUUUGCUGUCACUUAUAGAUGGAUCCGCGCCGCAUUAGCUAGUUGGUAAGGUAACGGCUUACCAAGGCAACGAUGCGUAGCCGACCUGAGAGGGUGAUCGGCCACACUGGAACUGAGACACGGUCCAGACUCCUACGGGAGGCAGCAGUAGGGAAUCUUCCGCAAUGGGCGAAAGCCUGACGGAGCAACGCCGCGUGAGUGAUGAAGGUCUUCGGAUCGUAAAACUCUGUUAUUAGGGAAGAACAAAUGUGUAAGUAACUAUGCACGUCUUGACGGUACCUAAUCAGAAAGCCACGGCUAACUACCUG
rnacentral:rRNA from 1 species